GACGUAGGGGGCAAGCGUUGUCCGGAAUCAUUGGGCGUAAAGAGCGUGUAGGCGGUUCGGUAAGUCCGCUGUGAAAGUCGAGGGCUCAACCCUCGAAUGCCGGUGGAUACUGUCGGGCUUGAGUACGGGAGAGGCGAGUGGAAUUCCUGGUGUAGCGGUGAAAUGCGCAGAUAUCAGGAGGAACACCGGUGGCGAAGGCGGUUCUCUGGGCCUUACCUGACGCUGGAGGAGCGAAAGCGUGGGGAGCGAACAGG
rnacentral:rRNA from 1 species